GGAUGGGAGCCUGGGACACAGAGGGGGCUCCGAGACCGGGAUUGGUUCGGGACAAAUAUUUGAUGGACUAAUCCAAGGUUGACCAACUGCUUCUCACACCCAGCAGUUCAAACUAAGUCAAGAAGCUGGACAACUGACAGAACAAUACAGUCUUUCAGUGAUUCACCCGGGACUUUUAUUCUCGUUCAUCACAAUUAAUAUCGACAUUUUUCUUCACCAGCUGCAUGAUACAAGAUUCCAAGAAGCUGGCAGACUAUUGACUGUUUAAGAACAAAUGAAUUCCAACUCAAGUCCAUAGGUACAUAAAUUCGCAGAUUCAUGACCAAAGACAAAAGAAAAUGAGACUUGUCACAAACGUGAAAUGAUAAAUCGUGUUUGUUGAGCAAGGAUCUAGCUGAUGCCUGUGGGGAUCAGUAAAUCUAAUGACAAAUACAUGUAUAAUAUAAGAACAUAUAUGUAUGUCGUGUUGGGACCAUUAUUGUUCCUCUUCAUUUUUGGAGGUGUGAGCUGAAGUUGAAUAUUGAAAUUGGAACUUUGACCAGCAGUUUGCUUCUGCUUCAUUUAUAGAAGUAAACUAAACAGAUGUUUGCAUUUUGGAAAUGGCCUGGAAACGUAACUCUAGGUUAGUUAUUGUUCGAGGAACACUGAAGACAUUUCUGACUCAAAACUGAGUUUAAAUAAUAGACAUUAAUUAGAUUACCUUACUGUAUAACCUGGCUCUGAUAAAGGCAUAGCAUUAAUAUUAAAUUGUUCAUUUUAGUUCAAGUCAUAAAUUUGCUGUCAGGUGCCUGUUAUUCUUAGAGUUUGGUUAGGAGCAAUUGGGCAGUUUGGAGAAUCAUUGAAUAUCUUUAUUUCACUAUGUUGUGAAUGCAAUGAUAGCGAAUGUGAUUUAGCUUGUUGUCAUUGUGUUCUUAUGAAGAGCAAUCGCGCUGCCAAUGUGUUGGCUGGCAUAGGUACUGAACAGGAACUGAAAUCUGACACGAGACCCAAAUUGCAAUUAAAGGCUUCAGAAAUCACGGUGUGUGUGAUACAUCGGAGUGAGGCUAUGGCUUUGUGUAUCUCAAGUGAACUGUGUUGCGUUUUACAGUACAAUGUAAACUUUGGAUGUGUGUCAAUUAAAUAGUAAAAGUUGAAGCUGUCC